GACGAACGCUGGCGGCGUGCUUAACACAUGCAAGUCGAACGGAAAGGCCCUGCUUUUGUGGGGUGCUCGAGUGGCGAACGGGUGAGUAACACGUGAGUAACCUGCCCUUGACUUUGGGAUAACUUCAGGAAACUGGGGCUAAUACCGGAUAGGAGCUCCUGCUGCAUGGUGGGGGUUGGAAAGUUUCGGCGGUUGGGGCUGGACUCGCGGCUUAUCAGCUUGUUGGUGGGGUAGUGGCUUACCAAGGCUUUGACGGGUAGCCGGCCGGAGAGGGUGACCGGCCACAUUGGGACUGAGGUACGGCCCAGACUCCUACGGGAGGCAGCAGUGGGGAAUAUUGCACAAUGGGCGGAAGCCUGAUGCAGCAACGCCGCGUGCGGGAUGACGGCCUUCGGGUUGUAAACCGCUUUCGCCUGUGACGAAGCGUGAGUGACGGUAAUGGGUAAAGAAGCACCGGCUAACUACGUG
rnacentral:rRNA from 1 species